UGUUGGUCUUCAGUCAAUUCAUACUGAUACAGCUGAACCAGUUAUUCAAAGCCAUCCAUUUUUAUUAGUCACAGUGUUUGUUGUUAUCCAUCUGCACAUGGACUACUCCAAUUAUUAAGAAUUUUGAACAUCAUUCCUACAGAAACCAGGACUUUUGAAGAAAUGGCUGACUCCAAAUAUGGCACAGGAAACAGAAAAAAAUGUACCUGGGAUAUCUUGUCACUUCUGAAAGCAAGGGCAACAUAAAUGAAAAAAUCAAAGCAUACCUGGUAAAGGGUCCAAAA